rnacentral:hammerhead_ribozyme from 1 species
GCACUGCUGACGAGUCCCACACAGGACGAAACGGCGGUUCAGUGA